CUGCAUUUUUUUGGGGGGGUCGCCGAUUACAUUGCACUCCACGAGGAGACUGCGUGGCAGGCUGACCACCUGUUAUGCGCGUGCAGCAAGAAGAAAUUGUCCUCCGCAGAGAGGAAUUACGACGUCUGCGAUCGGGAGCUCCUGGCGGUGAAGUUGGCAUUAGAGGAGUGGAGACACUGGCUGGAGGGCGCCAAGGAACCAUUCGUCAUCCUCACCGACCAUCAGAACCUAGAGUACAUACGGACAGCGAGGAGACUGAUUCCGCGCCAAGCCAGGUGGCACAUUUCUCCACCUGGUUCGACUUCACGCUGACCCAUCGCCCAGGUUCUAAGAACAUCAAGGCCGAUGCCCUGUCCCAUAUCUACGUUUCGGGAGAAGUUACUGUCCAGAAGGCACCCAUAAUCCCAUCCUCCCGAGUCGUGGAUCCAGUGGUUUGGGACGUAGAUGUGGACAUCCGCCAGGCUCUAGAGGGAGCCUGCAUCCCGAGCGUAUCUACGUUCCCAAAGGGGGUAAGGGAUCGGCUGCUGACCUGGGCACACACAGCUGUCGUUGCUGGACAUCCAGGUAUUUAUCGCAACAUCCACUCCAUUGCUGAGAAGAACUGGUGGCCUGUCUUGGUGCAGGAUGUCACUCGGUAUGUCAGCUCCUGUUCCAUUGGUGCUCAAACCAAGUCCCCCCGGAAUGCUCCAGCAGGGAAGCUCCUGCCGCUUCCCAUGCCUCAGCAACCUUGGUCACAUCUAUCCAUUGACUUUGUAACCGCGUCUGGUUCUCUACCAGGAACCUCCCACUCUGCCUGCCCUGCAAGAAACUGGUUUGUGUGGCCGGUCAAGGUUCUCUGGAGGGUCAACGAGGUGACGUACAGGUUACAACUACCCAGUCACUAUCGCAUCUCACCCUCUUCAUGUCUCCCUUCUCUGGCCGGUGGUUCCUGGUCCCCUAGCUGAUACUGUCUGCCACGACACUCACCCCGGAUAUUGAGGGGGGGUCCGGCGUACGCUGUCAGAUCCCUACUUGACUCCCGACGUUGUUGGGGUUGGCUCCAGUACCUGGUGGCCUGGGAGGGGUAUGGCCCAGAGGAGCGGUGUUGGUUUCCGUUGGAGGACAUUCUGGACCCCAAACAUCAUCCGUGAUUUCCACCUUCGCCGCACGGACCAACCCGCUCCUCGGGGUCGUCCCCCUGGUUGGCGUCGUCCUGCGUCUGGAGCCGCGCAUCAGAGGGGGACGGACAGACGGGUACUGUCACAUCUACGCCUCCCCUCUGGCGUACGACGUUGCCAGAAUACUAACCACAGGUCCUGGCACUCAUUACGCACACCUGUUAAUCAUUAUGAUUCACACCUGGGCUUCAUUUCCUUCCCUCCCUUAUGUUUUCUCACCUGUUGGUAUUGUUCUCGUUUACCGGCGUGUAGCCUUACGGAAUUAUCUCAUUCCUGGUUUUGUUAUAAUUAAACGUUUCACCUGCACCUGCUUCCCGACUCAGCUCUGUUAUUACAGCUAAAAUGUCUAAAAACAUGUUUUCACUUCGUCAUUAUUGGGUGUAGAUGGGUGAGAGAAAAUGUACUUCAUC
rnacentral:lncRNA from 1 species